CCUACGGGAGGCAGCAGUGGGGAAUAUUGCACAAUGGGGGAAACCCUGAUGCAGCGACGCCGCGUGAGUGAAGAAGUAUUUCGGUAUGUAAAGCUCUGUCAGCCGGGAAGAAAAUGACGGUACCUGACCAAGAAGCCCCGGCUAACUACGUGCCAGCAGCCGCGGUAAUACGUAGGGGGCACGCGUUAUCCGGAUUUACUGGGUGUAAAGGGAGUGUAGACGGCAGGGCAAGUCUGGAGUGAAAGGCGGGGGCUCAACCCCGGGACUGCUCUGGAGACUGCCAGGCUGGAGUGCAGGAGAGGUAAGUGGAAUUCGUGGUGUAGCGGUGAAAUGCGUAGAUAUUAGGAGGAACACCAGUGGCGAAGGCGGCUUACUGGACUGUAACUGACGUUGAGGCUCGAAAGCGUGGGGAGCAAACAGGAUUAGAUACCCGGGUAGUC
rnacentral:rRNA from 1 species